CCCCUUGCGGCUGCUACCAUGCAGUCGCACGCGAAAGGGGGCAACCCCGAGUAGAGUGGCGGACGGGUGCGUAACGCGUAGGAAUAUACCUGGUAGUGGGGGACAACCCGGCGAAAGCCGGGCUAAUACCGCAUACGAUCCACGGAUGAAAGCAGGGGACCGCAAGGCCUUGCGCUAUCAGAUUAGCCUGCGUCGGAUUAGCUAGUUGGUGAGGUAACGGCUCACCAAGGCAACGAUCCGUAGCUGGUUUGAGAGAACGACCAGCCACACUGGGACUGAGACACGGCCCAGACUCCUACGGGAGGCAGCAGAGGGGAAUAUUGGACAAUGGGGGCAACCCUGAUCCAGCAAUGCCGCGUGUGUGAAGAAGGCCUUCGGGUUGUAAAGCACUUUCGAUGGGGAAAAACAAGCCAGACCUAACACGUCUGGCCCUGAUGGUACCCAGAGAAGAAGCACCGGCUAACUCUGUGCCAGCAGCCGCGGUAAUACAGAGGGUGCAAGCGUUAAUCGGAAUUACUGGGCGUAAAGGGUGCGUAGGUGGUUUGUUAAGUCAGGCGUGAAAUCCCUGGGCUCAACCUGGGAACUGCGUUUGAUACUGGCAGACUCGAGUCUGGUAGAGGGUAGUGGAAUUCCGCAUGUAGCGGUGAAAUGCGUAGAUAUGCGGAGGAACAUCAGUGGCGAAGGCGGCUACCUGGACCAAGACUGACACUGAGGCACGAAAGCGUGGGGAUCAAACAGGAUUAGAUACCCUGGUAGUCCACGCCCUAAACGAUGGGUACUAGACGUUGGGAAGUUUAUCUUCUUGGUGUCGCAGCUAACGCAAUAAGUACCCCGCCUGGGGAGUACGGUCGCAAGAUUAAAACUCAAAGGAAUUGACGG
rnacentral:rRNA from 1 species